rnacentral:rRNA from 1 species
AGAACUUAGCAGAGAUGCUUUGGUGCCUUCGGGAACUCUGAGACAGGUGCUGCAUGGCUGUCGUCAGCUCGUGUUGUGAAAUGUUGGGUUAAGUCCCGCAACGAGCGCAACCCUUAUCCUUUGUUGCCAGCGGUUAGGCCGGGAACUCAAAGGAGACUGCCAGUGAUAAACUGGAGGAAGGUGGGGAUGACGUCAAGUCAUCAUGGCCCUUACGAGUAGGGCUACACACGUGCUACAAUGGCGCACACAAAGAGAAGCGACCUCGCGAGAGCAAGCGGACCUCAUAAAGUGCGUCGUAGUCCGGAUUGGAGUCUGCAACUCGACUCCAUGAAGUCGGAAUCGCUAGUAAUCGUGGAUCAGAAUGCCACGGUGAAUACGUUCCCGGGCCUUGUACACACCGCCCGUCACACCAUGGGAGUGGGUUGCAAAAGAAGUAGGUAGCUUAACCUUCGGGAGGGCGCUUACCACUUUGUGAUUCAUGACUGGGGUGAAGUCGUAACAAGGUAAGCGUAGUGCU